rnacentral:rRNA from 1 species
CCCUUAGAUGUUCUGGGCUGCACGCGCGCUACACUGAAGCGUUCAACGAGUAUUCACCUUGCCCGGGAGGGUUGGGCAAUCUGUUGCAGUCUCCGUCGUGCUGGGGAUAGAUGGUUGCAAUUGUCGAUCUUCAACGAGGAAUUCCUAGUAAGCACGAGUCAUCAGCUCGUGCUGAUUACGUCCCUGCCCUUUGUACACACCGCCCGUCGCUACUACCGAUUGAGUGAUCCGGUGAAUAAUUCGGACUGCAGCACUGCUUGGUCUCCAGGCUUUGCAGCGGAAAGUUUAGUGAACCUUAUCACUUAGAGGAAGGAGAAGUCGUAACA